rnacentral:rRNA from 1 species
UUUUUACGAUUUUUUUUGGGAAUGACGAAUUUGGGGGAUUGAAGCGGCGGACGGGUGGGUUAACGCGUGGGUUAACCUGCCUUAUACCAGGGGGGAUACCAGUUUGAAACGACUGCUAAUUCCGCAUAGCGCACCAAGAUCGCAUGGUCUGGUGUGAAAAACUCUGGUGGUAUAAGAUGGACCCGCGUCUGAUUAGCUAGUUGGUGGGGUAACGGCCUACCAAGGCAACGAUCAGUAGCCGACCUGAGAGGGUGACCGGCCACAUUGGGACUGAGACACGGCCCAAACUCCUACGGGAGGCAGCAGUGGGGAAUAUUGCACAAUGGGCGAAAGCCUGAUGCAGCGACGCCGCGUGAGCGAAGAAGUAUUUCGGUAUGUAAAGCUCUAUCAGCAGGGAAGAAGAAAUGACGGUACCUGACUAAGAAGCACCGGCUAAAUACGUGCCAGCAGCCGCGGUAAUACGUAUGGUGCAAGCGUUAUCCGGAUUUACUGGGUGUAAAGGGAGCGCAGGCGGUACGGCAAGUCUGAUGUGAAAGCCCGGGGCUCAACCCCGGUAUUGCAUUGGAAACUGUCGGACUAGAGUGUCGGAGGGGUAAGUGGAAUUCCUAGUGUAGCGGUGAAAUGCGUAGAUAUUAGGAGGAACACCAGUGGCGAAGGCGACUUACUGGACGAUAACUGACGCUGAGGCUCGAAAGCGUGGGGAGCAAACAGGAUUAGAUACCCUGGUAGUCCACGCUGUAAACGAUGAAUACUAGCUGUUGGGGAGCAUUGCUCUUCCAGUGGCGCAGCAAACGC